UUUCUGGCUCAAAGUUUCAUUCUUGGUCCAACUUACUCAGCCCUUGCAUUGCAGGGUCACCACUCACCACAAGUUUUAGACGCUAGGUGCCAUGGCAGCACAAGACUUCAGCUUAGUGCUGCCCUUUCCCUUCGCCGGCCUUGUACUGCUGCGCCACCAUCUUCUUCUUCGGGGAAGCGUGCCGGUGUCAGCGUCUGGGAAGUUCGUCGACCCACCCCACCCUGCUGCAGCACGACGGCGUCCUCUUAUGUGAGUCGAAGCGUCAAGGCUCAGGUCUGAAUUUCUCUAGUCAGGCUCAGGUCUGAAUUCUGAUAAUGCUCCAGAAGCACACUAGCUAGCAGAGUUUCAUGCUAAUCCAGCGACAUUCAUAUUGGUGCAACAUAGAAAUUCAAAACAUUUAACCACGAUUCUGGAUUCAGAUAGGUUCCGUUCGCCAAUUUCGGUAUCCCAGUGGAAAAAGACAUUUUUUGACAUUUCAAAAUCUUCCUUCUUAACAUCCACAAAGUAGCUGCAGCCUUAACAGAUUGAUCGCGGAUGAAAUUUCUGAGAGGUACCGGUUACCAUUCACACAAGAUCACAAGCCAGGUUCACAACCUCGACAGGUUACAGAGACAUGAGAAACCAACAGGUGUUCCAGGGAACCGCAGCAUAUUCUUUCAAACUCCACAGGUAUCUUGCAAACUGAGGCUGAAUUAAAGACAUACUAGGCAACUUCUUCUCUCUACAGGAGGUUUUAUCCGGUCACUGGCAUAGCUCAAGCAUCCGCUCCAGGCAGCGUACCCAGUGGCGGAGCCAGAAAAACUUAAUCAGGGGGGCCAACUGAUGUUAAAUCAUGUUGGGGAGGGCCAAAGCCAGCAAAAUCAUCAUAAUACACACAAUAUUAGCAGCAGAUAAUCCCUCAUGUAGUGGCAAAAUCUGCAUGUUGACCUGCCCACCCCCACCCCCGGCGGCGUACACCCUCUUCAGGUCCGCAGCUUCACCACGAAUUUCCAGCAGCCGCGCGUUAGAUUCAUCGUUGACAGCUCUGAUCUUCAUGUAGCACCUCAUGUACUCUGCCAUGCGCCGAUGCUCAAGCUCUUCCAGUUCAGCAAUCGUGAUGCCUGGCUUGCUAAGCAUGGCAUCGGCCUCGGCCACAUUCUUGAUGCGCACUUCUUUGUAUUCGGCCAUGACAGCCUUUCGUGUUUCACUUAGUGACUUAGGCUUUUCUGGGGGCAGAUUAUCAAGGCUUUGUAUUCGGCCAUGCGCACUUCUUUGUAUCCAUCAGACUCGAGCAGGGUAUCUUCAGGCUCAGACUUUGACAUGGAUCCAGCAGGUGCGCUUACCAUCUGCAAAAUGUAGGCCGGAUAUUUUAGGAUGGAUCGAUAUAUGGAACACUUUAAGGAACUAUUGUUCAAUAAGGUUCACAAUAGUAGCAACAGUAAAGCACAAACUGUUCCCAUUAGAGCAAAAACUAACAAUAAUAUUUUAGAAAAGGUACAAAUUGACCGUAGAAUGCAUGGUCUGGGUUUAGAGAAACUAGAUGACUCGUUGCGCCAAUGGCGCAAAUGCCGAGAGGGAGCCAAGUAUUGUGAGAAUAUUUAGACACCCAAGUCGAAAACCAAAUGUGGCCAACACUCCCGCAUCCUCUGCUUGAAAGCCGCCUUUUCUCACCAAAUCAAACAUAGAUACAUGAUUCUUCAAGAGCAAAUUUCAAAGAAAAUAUAAAGCAUGGAAGGCUUUAAAUUGUAUUAUUGAGACUGUACCACCAUAUCUUCAUUUAGUUUCUUUGGAAAUCUAAAGGUCUAAGAAGAUGGUACAUGUGAGAAGCUGUGAAUCCACAACAAAAAACUAAACUAACUUCCAAACAAACAUUUCAAGUUUGGAAGCCACAAAGAAGCAGCCCAGAUCUCUCGUUGUAGUGCAGGUACA